AAAGGAAGGCUUGGAAAGAAGAGGGUACAAAGAAGUUGGAUUUUUGAAUGAAGUGACUGAGGUGGUUAAAACAGGGGUGACGCCGGCUGAAAAGCUUUUGAAGUUGUACCAUGAGAAGUGGGGAUGCAGUGUUGAUCCAGUUUUCGAGGAAUUGUUGUAUUAGAGGUUCUGUGUGAUUGCCGAUGGAGCUAUAAAUUACUUAUUGAAUAAGUAUGUCUGAA
rnacentral:misc_RNA from 1 species